UAGUAGUGUGACAUGCCCGUUUGGGAUUUACUCUGAUGUAUGUUUAUUUAUUAUUUAAAUUGUUUUUGGGUAACGGGGUGUUACACUAGA
rfam:Medicago truncatula strain A17 chromosome 3, whole genome shotgun sequence.